UCUGCCUUCCUGAAUAAGUUAAUGCCAUUAUCAUAGGAGUAAGUUUGUUAUCUCGGGAAUUCAGCCCCCUUUCUCUCUGUGUCUUGCACCUGCCUCACCAUGUGAUGCCUUCUGCCAUGUUAGGAUGUAGCAAGAAGGCCCUCACCACCUGUGGCCGUACAGUCUUGGACCUUCCAGCCUACAGGACCCUGAGACACACAAAUCUCUCUUCUUUAUAAAUUACCUAGUCUAUAGUAUUCUAUUACAGCAGCAAAAACAGACUAAGACACUGGUCUUUUACUUUUGAUUUUGUUUCUAUUGAUUUUUACUAGGUACAUCUAAUUUCACCUCUUGAAGAUGGCUGACAUGGUCACUGAACUGAAGCUUUGUGGUGAAGAAACUAUUAAGCAAAUGGGGAGGAAGAGCCAUACAAUUUCACUUUAGAUGAAGAGAGCUACCCUUAUCACCACAUAUGGAGAGCCAGCACCAAGAUGAGUCAGUAUAAAAAGACCUUACUAAAAUAACCCUUACUUUCAGUAGUUUCCUGAUAUAUUUGCUAGUCACUUUCCCACAAGUUAUCACCCCUAGAAGCCUAAAACCCUUCUCCUUUGUCUAGUCACUUCUUUAAAAUUUAUUGCCUUUUGUUAAAAUGGUAUGUAAUCUCUUAAGCCUAACUGCUUCUUUGUUUUUUUUUAUUUUUUUACUUCUUUUUUUUUAUGAAGCCCUUGUGCACACAAAAUUAAAAAUAUUAAUACUA